GCGCAACAUUUCCUUUGCGUAAAGUUGGUCAGGCUGCUGAUUGUGGUCUGUGGAAUGCUGUCUCACUCCUCUUCAAUGGCUGCGCGAAGUUGCUGGAUAUUGUCGGGAACUGGAACACGUCGAUCCAGAGCAUCCUGAACAUGCUCAAUGGGUGACAUGUCUGACUAUGCAGGCCAUGGAAGAACUGGGACAUUUUCAGCUUCCAGGAAUUGUGUACAGAUCGUUGCGAAAUGGGGCUGUACAUUACCAUGCUGAAACAUGAGGUGAUGGAGGCGGAUGAAUGGCACGACAAUGGGCCUCAGGAUCACAUCAAGUUUCAUCAGUUGUCCGGGUGGCUGGUCUCAGACGAUCCCAUGGGUGAAGAAGCUGGAUGUGGAGGUCCUGGGCUGGCGUGGUUACACAUGGUCUGCGGUUGUGAGGCCUGUUGGGGAUACUGCCAAAUUCUCUAAGAUGACAUUGGAGGCGGCUUAUGGUAUAGAAAUGAACAUUAAAUUCUCUGGCAACAGCUCUGGUGGACAUUCUUGCAGUCAGCAUGCCAAUUGCGCACUCCCUCAAAAUUUGAGACAUCUGUGGCAUUGUGUUGUGUGACAGAACUGCACAUUUUAGUGUCCCCAGGACAAGGGGCACCUGUGUAAUGAUCAUGCUGUUUAAUCAACUUCUUGAUAUGCCACACCUGUCAGGUGGAUUAAUUAUCUUGGCAAAGGAGAAAUUCUCACUACAGGGAUGUAAACAAAUGUGUGCAUGCACAACAUGCUAGAGAAAUAAGCUUUGUGUGUGUAUGGAAAAAUUCAAGGAUCUUUUAUUUCAGCUCAAGAAACAUGGGACCAACACCUUACAUAUUUUUGUUCGGGAUAGUAUGUGCCUUCUUUGCCUUGUAUCAUAUUCUUAUUAAGGAAUUAGCUCAAAGUAUUUGAAAGGAGCAAUAUGUUGUAGAAUGUAAAGGAGCAAACACAGGAAUACAAAGAAGUUGAGAAGAUUUGGACAAGCUGGCUUCUGUUUACAGUUCUACAGUGGACAUUGAAGAUAAGCAUCGUAUUGCGGUUCAGAACAAUAGCCCUGUCCCACCCUUCAUUAACUCUCCAGUUACAUAUUAAAUCUCAAACAG
rnacentral:lncRNA from 1 species